rnacentral:rRNA from 1 species
UGUGAGCUCGAUGAGUAGGGCGGGACACGUGGUAUCCUGUCUGAAUAUGGGGGGACCAUCCUCCAAGGCUAAAUACUCCUGACUGACCGAUAGUGAACCAGUACCGUGAGGGAAAGGCGAAAAGAACCCCGGCGAGGGGAGUGAAAAAGAACCUGAAACCGUGUACGUACAAGCAGUGGGAGCACCCUUUGGGGUGUGACUGCGUACCUUUUGUAUAAUGGGUCAGCGACUUAUAUUCUGUAGCAAGGUUAACCGUAUAGGGGAGCCGCAGGGAAACCGAGUCUUAACCGGGCGUUAAGUUGCAGGGUAUAGACCCGAAACCCGGUGAUCUAGCCAUGGGCAGGUUGAAGGUUGGGUAACACUAACUGGAGGACCGAACCGACUAAUGUUGAAAAAUUAGCGGAUGACCUGUGGCUGGGGGUGAAAGGCCAAUCAAACCGGGAGAUAGCUGGUUCUCCCCGAAAGCUAUUUAGGUAGCGCCUCGUGAAUUCAUCUCCGGGGGUAGAGCACUGUUUCGGCUAGGGGGCCAUCCCGGCUUACCAACCCGAUGCAAACUGCGAAUACCGGAGAAUGUUAUCACGGGAGACACACGGCGGGUGCUAACGUCCGUCGUGAAGAGGGAAACAACCCAGACCGCCAGCUAAGGUCCCAAAGUCAUGGUUAAGUGGGAAACGAUGUGGGAAGGCCCAGACAGCCAGGAUGUUGGCUUAGAAGCAGCCAUCAUUUAAAGAAAGCGUAAUAGCUCACUGGUCGAGUCGGCCUGCGCGGAAGAUGUAACGGGGCUAAACCAU